GGCUCUGUAGUUCAAGGGAUAGAACAUCGGUUUCCUAAACCGAGGAUCCCGGUUCGAAUCCGGGCGGAGCUACAA
rnacentral:tRNA from 3 species